CGUGUAGGCGGCCAAACAGGUCCGUUGUGAAAACUGGAGGCUUAACCUCCAGACGUCGACGGAAACCGUAUGGCUAGAGUCCGGAAGAGGAGAGUGGAAUUCCUGGUGUAGCGGUGAAAUGCGCGGAUAUCAGGAAGAACACCAAUGGCGAAGGCAGCUCUCUGGGACGGUACUGACGCUGAGACGCGAAAGCGUGGGGAGCGAACA
rnacentral:rRNA from 1 species